CUAACAAUGCAGUCGAGAGGAUGUAGCCGGAUUGCUCCUGGAUUCAGCGGCGGACGGGUGAGUAAUGCCUAGGAAUCUGCCUGGUAGUGGGGGAUAACGUCCGGAAACGGGCGCUAAUACCGCAUACGUCCUGAGGGAGAAAGUGGGGGAUCUUCGGACCUCACGCUAUCAGAUGAGCCUAGGUCGGAUUAGCUAGUUGGUGGGGUAAAGGCCUACCAAGGCGACGAUCCGUAACUGGUCUGAGAGGAUGAUCAGUCACACUGGAACUGAGACACGGUCCAGACUCCUACGGGAGGCAGCAGUGGGGAAUAUUGGACAAUGGGCGAAAGCCUGAUCCAGCCAUGCCGCGUGUGUGAAGAAGGUCUUCGGAUUGUAAAGCACUUUAAGUUGGGAGGAAGGGCAGUAAGUUAAUACCUUGCUGUUUUGACGUUACCAACAGAAUAAGCACCGGCUAACUUCGUGCCAGCAGCCGCGGUAAUACGAAGGGUGCAAGCGUUAAUCGGAAUUACUGGGCGUAAAGCGCGCGUAGGUGGUUCAGCAAGUUGGAUGUGAAAUCCCCGGGCUCAACCUGGGAACUGCAUCCAAAACUACUGAGCUAGAGUACGGUAGAGGGUGGUGGAAUUUCCUGUGUAGCGGUGAAAUGCGUAGAUAUAGGAAGGAACACCAGUGGCGAAGGCGACCACCUGGACUGAUACUGACACUGAGGUGCGAAAGCGUGGGGAGCAAAACAGGAUUAGAUACCCUGGUAGUCCACGCCGUAAACGAUGUCGACUAGCCGUUGGGAUCCUUGAGAUCUUAGUGGCGCAGCUAACGCGAUAAGUCGACCGCCUGGGGAGUACGGCCGCAAGGUUAAAACUCAAAUGAAUUGACGGGGGCCCGCACAAGCGGUGGAGCAUGUGGUUUAAUUCGAAGCAACGCGAAGAACCUUACCUGGCCUUGACAUGCUGAGAACUUUCCAGAGAUGGAUUGGUGCCUUCGGGAACUCAGACACAGGUGCUGCAUGGCUGUCGUCAGCUCGUGUCGUGAGAUGUUGGGUUAAGUCCCGUAACGAGCGCAACCCUUGUCCUUAGUUACCAGCACCUCGGGUGGGCACUCUAAGGAGACUGCCGGUGACAAACCGGAGGAAGGUGGGGAUGACGUCAAGUCAUCAUGGCCCUUACGGCCAGGGCUACACACGUGCUACAAUGGUCGGUACAAAGGGUUGCCAAGCCGCGAGGUGGAGCUAAUCCCAUAAAACCGAUCGUAGUCCGGAUCGCAGUCUGCAACUCGACUGCGUGAAGUCGGAAUCGCUAGUAAUCGUGAAUCAGAAUGUCACGGUGAAUACGUUCCCGGGCCUUGUACACACCUCCCAUCACACCAUGGGAGUGGGUUGCUCCAGAAGUAGCUAG
rnacentral:rRNA from 1 species